rnacentral:rRNA from 1 species
ACUAUAACUGGCGUCGAGCGGCGGACGGGUGAGUAAUGCCUAGGAAAUUGCCCUGAUGUGGGGGAUAACCAUUGGAAACGAUGGCUAAUACCGCAUGAUGCCUACGGGCCAAAGAGGGGGACCUUCGGGCCUCUCGCGUCAGGAUAUGCCUAGGUGGGAUUAGCUAGUUGGUGAGGUAAGGGCUCACCAAGGCGACGAUCCCUAGCUGGUCUGAGAGGAUGAUCAGCCACACUGGAACUGAGACACGGUCCAGACUCCUACGGGAGGCAGCAGUGGGGAAUAUUGCACAAUGGGCGCAAGCCUGAUGCAGCCAUGCCGCGUGUGUGAAGAAGGCCUUCGGGUUGUAAAGCACUUUCAGUCGUGAGGAAGGUAGUGUAGUUAAUAGCUGCAUUAUUUGACGUUAGCGACAGAAGAAGCACCGGCUAACUCCGUGCCAGCAGCCGCGGUAAUACGGAGGGUGCGAGCGUUAAUCGGAAUUACUGGGCGUAAAGCGCAUGCAGGUGGUUUGUUAAGUCAGAUGUGAAAGCCCGGGGCUCAACCUCGGAAUAGCAUUUGAAACUGGCAGACUAGAGUACUGUAGAGGGGGGUAGAAUUUCAGGUGUAGCGGUGAAAUGCGUAGAGAUCUGAAGGAAUACCGGUGGCGAAGGCGGCCCCCUGGACAGAUACUGACACUCAGAUGCGAAAGCGUGGGGAGCAAACAGGAUUAGAUACCCUGGUAGUCCACGCCGUAAACGAUGUCUACUUGGAGGUUGUGGCCUUGAGCCGUGGCUUUCGGAGCUAACGCGUUAAGUAGACCGCCUGGGGAGUACGGUCGCAAGAUUAAAACUCAAAUGAAUUGACGGGGGCCCGCACAAGCGGUGGAGCAUGUGGUUUAAUUCGAUGCAACGCGAAGAACCUUACCUACUCUUGACAUCCAGAGAACUUUCCAGAGAUGGAUUGGUGCCUUCGGGAACUCUGAAACAGGUGCUGCAUGGCUGUCGUCAGCUCGUGUUGUGAAAUGUUGGGUUAAGUCCCGCAACGAGCGCAACCCUUAUCCUUGUUUGCCAGCGAGUAAUGUCGGGAACUCCAGGGAGACUGCCGGUGAUAAACCGGAGGAAGGUGGGGACGACGUCAAGUCAUCAUGGCCCUUACGAGUAGGGCUACACACGUGCUACAAUGGCGCAUACAGAGGGCGGCCAACUUGCGAAAGUGAGCGAAUCCCAAAAAGUGCGUCGUAGUCCGGAUUGGAGUCUGCAACUCGACUCCAUGAAGUCGGAAUCGCUAGUAAUCGUGGAUCAGAAUGCCACGGUGAAUACGUUCCCGGGCCUUGUACACACCGCCCGUCACACCAUGGGA